GCCUGAGUGGCUCAGUCAGUUGAGCAUCCGACUUUGGCUCAGGUCAUGAUCUCGUUCAUGGGUUCGAGCCCCACAUCAGGCU
rnacentral:tRNA from 1 species